CCUACGGGUGGCAGCAGUGAGGAAUAUUGGUCAAUGGACGAGAGUCUGAACCAGCCAAGUAGCGUGAAGGAUGACUGCCCUAUGGGUUGUAAACUUCUUUUAUAAAGGAAUAAAACGAGGCACGUGUGCCUUUUUGCAUGUACUUUAUGAAUAAGGAUCGGCUAACUCCGUGCCAGCAGCCGCGGUAAUACGGAGGAUCCGAGCGUUAUCCGGAUUUAGUGGGUUGAAAGGUAGCAUAGAUGGGUGGUUAAGUCAGUUGUGAAAGUUUGCGGCUCAACCGUAAAAUUGCAAUUGAUACUGGCAGUCUUGAGUACAGUUGAGGUAGGCGGAAUUCGUGGUGUAGCGGGGAAAUGCUUAGAUAUCACGAAGAACCCCGAUUGCGAAGGCAGCUUACUAAACUGUGACUGACAUUGAUGCUCGAAAGUGUGGGUAUCAAACAGGAUUAGAUACCCGUGUAGUC
rnacentral:rRNA from 1 species